rnacentral:rRNA from 2 species
UGGAGGAAUGAAAAGCAAAAGCUAAUUGCAUUUACUUAAAAUUAAAUUUUAAGAGAGCUUUCCCUUUUUUUUUUUGUGUUUUAUAAAAAAUUGGAUGGCUUUUAAGAGAGUGGUCCUUUUUUAUUUUAAAAAUUUCAAAGCCUUUUAAAGAGGAAGGGUCCAUUUUUUAUGUAAUUACUACUUUGUAGUUUAAAAUUCUAGAUAGAAUUAUGAUGAUGACAUUAUCUAUCUAUAAGUCUUGACCAAAUUACGUGCCAGCAGUCGCGGUAAUACGUAGAAGACAAGUGUUAUUCAUCUUUAUUGGGUUUAAAGAGUACCAAGACGGUUAAUAAAGCCCAAAAUACAUAAAAACAGGGGACACAUUAACUAGAGUUAUAUGAAAAGAAGCAUUAAGGUACUGUUGAGUGUAGAGAUAAAAUUCCGUCAUACCAGAUAAUAGGCACAGAUUUAUGCGAAGGCAUCUUCUUAUGUAAUAACUGACGUUGUAGGACGAAGGCUUUUUAAGUGAACAGGAUUAGAGACCCUAGUAAUCUAAGCAGAAAAUGAUGAAUGUCAUAGGUUUAAUUAAUGUAUAAUUGGGUCUAUAAAUGAAAGUGUAAGCAUUCCACCUCAAGAGUAAUUUGGCAACAUUGAAACUGAAAUCAUUAGACCGUUUCUGAAACCAGUAGUGAAGUAUGUUGUUUAAUUAGAUGAUACACAAAAAACCUUACCACAAUUUGAAUAUAUAUCUUUAAAGAUAUUUACAAGCGUUGCACGGCUGUCUUCAGUUAAUGUCGUGAGAUUUUGGUUAGUUCCAUAAAAUUAACGUAAACCCUCGUUUUAUUUAUAAAUAAAAUUUAGAUCUGUUUC